rnacentral:lncRNA from 1 species
AUGUUUUGCGUAGACGCGUGCGAUCGUUACAGAAACACACAGGCAAAGACUGUCGGGUCAUUCCGGGAAUCCGCACAGCGCCGCGCUCUCGCAGCGCCGAGACGUAAUGACGGCCGGGCGCUUAACGGCCGCGCGCCCAACGGUCACGUGCUCGCGCGCCGCCCAACGGCCGCGGGCCGGGGGCGGCGGUGGGCGGGGCGCUCUCCCCUUUCCGCCGCGCCGCCGUCCUCUGCGCGUCACUUCCGGGUGCCGUCUCGCCGCCGCCGCCGCCGCCAGGAUGAUCCCGCCGGUGCAGGUGUCGCCGCUCAUCAAGACUACCUGAAGCCCAUCGCCGAGGAGGAGAGGCGAGUGGAGGCCGAGGAGAAGAAGAAGCGUGAGGAGCUAGAGCGGAUCGCAAGAGAGCUUGCAGAAGCAAGUGAAGAUUCCAUAUUGAAAUGAACAAAAGACUGGAUCAUACCUUCAUUCAUGGAAGUAUCUGGCUAGGCUCUGAACAGUUUAACUCUGCAUGUUAUUCUAUCAAUAAAGUACUUAUAACACUCUGGCUGUUUUUGUUG